rnacentral:rRNA from 1 species
CCUACGGGCGGCAGCAGUGAGGAAUCUUGGUCAAUGGACGAGAGUCUGAACCAGCCAAGUAGCGUGAAGGAUGACUGCCCUAUGGGUUGUAAACUUCUUUUAUAUGGGAAUAAAAUGUUCCACGUGUGGGACUUUGUAUGUACCAUAUGAAUAAGGAUCGGCUAACUCCGUGCCAGCAGCCGCGGUAAUACGGAGGAUCAGAGCGUUGUCCGGAUUUAUUGGGUUUCAAGGGAGCGUAGGUGGCUUGUUAAGUCCGUUGUGAAAGUUUGCGGCUCAACCGUCAAAUUGCAGUUGAAACUGGCAGUCUUGAGUACAGUAGAGGUGUGCGGAAUUCGUGGUGUAGCAGGGAAAUGCUGAGAUAUCGCGAAGAACUCCGAUUGCGAAGGCAGCUCACUGGACAGCAACUGACACUGAGGCUCGAAAGUGUGGGUAUCGAACAGGAUUAGAUACCCUUGUAGUC